GCAAAUGUUAGAUGGGCUGUUUCAUUGGGGAGAUGACCUUCUAUAAUAUAACUAAAGGUUAACAAAGCAAUUGAUGUGGCCUUUGAUCAAGGACUAGUAAGUGCAAAGAUUGAUGUGUGGCUUAAUGGUCAAGCGUUAGAUCCAGUAUUUAAAUGGUGUCUUAGUGACCUUCAAAUUAAUCUAUCAGAUAAAAGCUACUCUAGGGAUAACAGGCUUAAUUCUUUGGAUAGCUCACAUUAACAAAAUCGUUUUGCAC
rnacentral:rRNA from 1 species